CCCACGUCAGCCUCCCCCAGCACCAAAUUGGCUGGAGAGGUGGUCAGGAUGAAAGGAAUGGCUUUGAUCCUACUGCUUGAACUAAGACUUUACAAAUUUAAGAAACACAAUGACAACAUUCAACAAUUAGACUUAACAACAGCAUUAGCAUUGUUGACCUUUAUUGAAGAUAUUUCAUCUGCAACCCGUAAUAAUAAAUACACAAUUGGGGUAUUAGUUGAUUUAAAAAAAGCUUUUGAUACAUUUCAAAAUCCCAUUUUGAUUUCUAAAUUGCAGGGUUUAUUAAGAAUCUUUUCUUCUUCCUGCUCCUUUUCACGCAUGGUUGUUGCGAGUUAUAGUGAGAAAAACUAUGGUUUGUGUGUAUGAAAGGACAAAACUGUUGAAACUGUUGAACCAAGUGUGAAAUAAAUACAUUAAAUGAAAAAGCUUUCUAAAAUAACAGACCUACACACAGGAGAGAUAUUGUUCCUCACAUUACAAUGAAGAAUGAAAAUUUUUUAAUUCUUCAUUCGAUGAUAUUGGGACAACAGGUGGAGCAGGAAUGACAGUAUCACUAAUGGUGCCAAAUAACACCCAGAAAAAGGGGAAACAGGACAUACGAUCCUGCACAAAUGUUGGUCUUUAACAAAGGUGAAACACUCAAGUUGUAUGAUAUAAACAUGACAAAAACAGCACAGAAACAGGAGGAGGAUUUCUCCAGUUAAUGUCUGUCUUAUUAUUAGUGAUUUAUACAGGAUGAGAGCUCAUUAACCCUAAACUUCAGUACAGCAAGUCUGUUUCCUCACCACAGCUCACAGGCUAGAUGUUUGGUGAAGCGUCUCACCAGUGUUUCCUAAAACAUUUAACUAUGUUUGGCUUCACACCGACAAACAUAUUAUGUUUUACAGCAGUAGUAAUAAUUCGGGUUUGGUUCCAUACGUAUUGUUAUAAUCCAUUGGUUUAUGCAAGCAUGGAUCUUCAAGGAAAGCCAAAAAGGAGGCAAAUGUUGGCGAAAGUUAGCAGUUGCAUUUUAGUAAUGGUCAUGAAUGUGAGCAAAAGCAGCGAGGUGUCCUAUCCAGCUAUAUAGAAGAGCAAUAUAACGAUGAUGAAGGUGACAGUUUGAAUCAGUCAUAUUUCAUUCAAUACAGUGGUGUACUGACAGAUCCAGGAUCCAAAUCAUCAGCAGUUUGAUCCACGUAUGGAUUGAAAUUUAUUUGUGAAAAUGUUGGACUGUUCCUUUAUCAGUGUGUAACAGUGUGUGUAUGAGAGCCAUGUAAUGUCCAUGUGUGCAUGCUGACUGUGCUGCUCUGACCCCCCUCCUCCUUUCAGGGUGGAGCCUGCUGGAGUCCGAUGGUUGAGACCAGGUCUGAGGAAGUAUUCCUGUCAACUCACAAUCGACACAAACACAGUACACAAACCUCCAACUGUCUGACAACAACAGGAAGGUGACACAUGUGAAGGAGGUUCAGUCAUAUCCUGAUCAUCCAGACAGAUUUGAUGGGUUAUCAGCUGCUGUGUAGAAAUGGUCUGACUGGUCGCUGUUACUGGGAGGUCGAGUGGAGAGGAAGAGUUAUAUAUCAGUGAGUUACAGAAGAAUCAGAAGGAAAGGAGACAGUGAUGACUGUUUGUUUGGAUGGAAUGAUCAGUCCUGGAGUCUGAUCUGCUCUGAUGAUGGUCCUCGUUAUGUCUGGCACAAUAACAGAGUAACAUCCAUCUCCUCCUCCUCCUCCUCCUCUGUCUCUAACAGAGCAGCAGUGUAUGUGGACUGUCCUGCUGGCACUCUGUCCUUCUACAGAGUCUCCUCUGACACUCUGAUCCACCUCCACACCUUCAACACCACAUUCACUCAAACUCUUUAUCCUGGGUUUAUGUUCUGGUCUCCUGGUGGCUCAGUGUCCCUGUGCUGAGUGGAGUGUAAAGAGUGUCUCCUGUUACAGAAACACUCUGACUGUUGAACAGAUAGUUCAGUCUGUACAUGUCUGUCUCUUUCACUCACAAACACGUUUUCAGAUUCAUGGAUUCAAUCAGUUGAUGUUUGAAACUCUUCUAAAUGAUUCCUUGUAAACUUCUUCCUCUUCAGUC